GCUUUAUAGAAUUGAUUUAACUUAUAAUAGAACUAGUAUAUUAGCGCACUGCCGCUAAAAAAGUUAGUCUGAUCAUAAUAUAUUUUCGCCAACACCAGGGGACUUUUAGUCCACCCGUCUCAGCUUUACCCCGCCAUCUGGGUGCUUUUACAUUCAGGUGGCGAUUA
rnacentral:sRNA from 1 species